rnacentral:rRNA from 1 species
UUGGUGUUGAUUGCGGUGAGGGUCCACCCGUUCCCAUCCCGAACACGGAAGUUAAGCUCACCUGCGCCGAAAAUACUUGUCUGGAGACGGACCGGGAAGAUAGGUAACGCCGACACAGA